rnacentral:lncRNA from 1 species
UUUUGGUAGUUGUUUGGCAGUUCAUUUUCAUUGGAAUCAGCUAGCAGCCGUGACCAAGAACAAAAUUUAUUGAAUCUGCAUUUUCUGUUAAAGAAUGCAUGGAUCCAUGAAGACUGAAUUGAUUCAUUUCACAAUGUUCAUGUGCACGGAAAUUGGAAUGGAUUGUGCAGGGAGUAUCAUGCAUGACUAAUUUGAGUUGCACAAUACUGUUAAAUUGGAUACUGAUCUAUUGCAUCAUUGACUAUGAUUUCUCUGCAGGGUUGGAUGGAGAUCUGAAUUUACUUAUUAAUUGGCUCAACCAGAUGACUUGAUUGUAUCGGAUCCAGACAGCAUGCAAUUUGAGUAAUUAUUGAUGUGUCUUUUCACCCAGUCCUACUGGUACUUUCUGUUUAGUAAUUUUGAUAAGCAGUUAUUCUGUUUUUCUUUUCCAUUUGUUUUUAUUUAUUUUUUAUGUUUUUUAAUCAGAAGGAUUUAACCUGCACGAACAAGGCAUGAUAGUUAUUUUGUUAUUAAAAUCAAUUAGAUAGACCAAAAGAACUUAUUCUUGUUAUUGUUUCAGGUUAAAGACAGUGACAUCGGAAGAAGAAAGCUCCUGUUAAAGUUUUAUCCAAUUGGCAAUUGUCAUUUUUUACCGUAAGACGGCUUCGAGUUUAUCUCGUGACAUCCGGUAUCAGAUUCAGAUCGUCUGCAAUUGAACAAAACACGAGUGACGAGAGCGUUUUGUUUGUGUUUGUUUGCUGAAAAAAGCCUCCAUUAAUUGCACAUAGUUUUGUUGCAAAAACCCACAUGUGAACUGCUAAAACUAUUGUUUUCUUUUUCAGAGGCUCGUGGAGUCCUGGUAGAGAAAUUUCGCACUUCUUUAUGGAACAUCAUUUCUCGUGUGGUCUGCUUCCUUCACGUGGCAUGGUAUUCCAUGGCAUACCAAUUCAGCUAAUUCAAACAUGACACGAAAAUUUGCAUGAAACUAGCGAGUGAACUUUGUUCUCUGUCCUAGUUCUCAAGAUUGAUUGCUAGGUCUAAGCGAACAAAAAUGCGCUUUUCAAGUGUUGUGGGUAUGUUAAGACCAGUCCUUCAACUACGGCGGCUUGCUGUCAAAAGUUGAUCUUUUCUUCGAAAAUUACCAAUGAAUUCACAGUCUGAGGAAACGUGAAAGUGGUGCAGCCUACCGUCAACUAUUUUGUUCAAAUUCAUUCUAUUCUACUGAAUGUGCCAUCGAAAUUAUACAGUUAACAACCAACACUAGCUUAAACUAACCUAAAUUCUUCUCAUGUUUUAUUAGAAUUAAUCUUAAUUAUCGGCUGUUUCUUUUGGACUUGCUAGAUCACCAACCCCAGAAUGGACCAUUCUUUCAUUCCAUUUUCUAGAGAGCCU